rnacentral:rRNA from 1 species
GACGAACGCUGGCGGCGUGCUUAACACAUGCCAGUCGAACGGUGAAGCGCCUUCCUUUUUGGUGGGUGUGGAUGAGUGGCGAACGGGUGAGUAACACGUGAGUAACCUGCCCCCUCUUCCGGGAUAACCCCUUGAAGGGUGGCCAAUAACGGGUAUUUCGGGUUUGUUGCAUUGUUGGGCUGGGGAAGAAAAUUGUUUCGGGGGGGGUGGGCUCGCGGCCCAUCAGCUUGUUGGUGGGGUGAUGGCCUACCAAGGCGGUGACGGGUAGCCGGCCUGAGAGGGUGGACGGUCACACUGGGACUGAGACACGGCCCAGACUCCUACGGGAGGCAGCAGUGGGGAAUAUUGCACAAUGGGCGCAAGCCUGAUGCAGCGACGCCGCGUGAGGGAUGGAGGCCUUCGGGUUGUGAACCUCUUUCGCCAGUGAAGCAGGCCUGCCUCGUUUGUGGGUGGGUUGACGGUAGCUGGAUAAGAAGCGCCGGCUAACUACGUG